rnacentral:rRNA from 1 species
UAAUCUACCUUUGGAUGGGGAAUAACAGUCGGAAACGGCUGCUAAUACCGCAUAAUGCAGCGGCACCUAAUGGUGACAGUUGUUAAAGCGGGGGAUCGAAAGACCUCGCGUCUGAAGAGGAGCCUGCGGCGGAUUAGCUAGUUGGUAAGGUAAUGGCUUACCAAGGCUACGAUCCGUAACCGGCCUGAGAGGGCGGUCGGCACACUGACACUGACAUACGGGUCAG